UUUGUGACUUUACCACGCUUUUUAUUAAUUAAAGUACCAAUUUUGAACCUCCAGAGACUCCAUUUAGUCUCCUUUUUUAGCUUCUCUUUCCUGGACGCUGAGAAUAAGAACACAGUUAACAAUUGGUGCUCCUGAAGACGUGAUUCUCGUUGCACUGGGAGAGACUAUACACGCGGCUGUUGUCCGGAGCCGCUGGCAAACCCGUUCGACACACAGAGAGCUCAAACUACGGUAAAGAAGAAGCCUGUUACGUCAAAAUUCUUCAAUAGUUUAUGCAGAACAAUCUUAGGACUGUGUGUUGGACGGCUGCUUCCGGUUCCUGAAAAUAGCUGGGAAAUUAAUGUUAAAACAACCAAAUUUAUAACAAUAACAAUCAUAACACGUGGCGUUGCAUUUUCACAAGCAGGGUGAGUUCACAUUUCUUCUUUUUCUUAUAUUUAACCCUGCAUGCUAUUCGUUUGUCUGUUAUUACAUGUCGGCAAAAGGCUAAUCAUUUCAAUUGUUUCUUGUUACGUCUUAAUUUAAACGUGAAUGGUUUUAGGCCAUUAAUCAGUGGGGACUGGUUGAGACAAGAACAAAGUGGAGUGAGUGUUUGUGUUAAGGACAGUGUGAGGCUGUUUUUCUUUUUAAAAGUUCUUUGUGUGAUGAUGGCAAUCAUUUAAAGUGUUUCUUGUUACGUCUUAAUUUAAACGUGAAUGGUUUUAGGCCAUUAAACAGUGGGGACUGUUUGAGACAAGAACACAGUUGAGUGAGUAUUUUAAUUACAGCAAGGGGCUUUCUUAUUAAAAAAGUCCUAUUUGAGGAAAAGGCCUGAAAAGUUUGAAGCUUUCAGUGUUUGUUUUUUCUGUUUUCAAACAGACAUUGCGCGUGGAUUACGACGAGAAAUGCGACAUUCGUGCGUUAGAUAGACGAUAUUCUUCUGAUAGUGUUUGAUUAGCUUCUUACUUUGUCCCAUGAUAGCGUGUUUAAACAGAGGAGAUAACCAUACUGGCUCUUAAAGUCAAAACAUUACGUACACAGGUUGAAGGCUGUGACGUAAGGGUAUGAGGCCCAUCUUUGGUAACACAAAUCAGUAUUGUUACCGAGCCUGAUAAUCUAUUGACCUAUCUAAGCUUAACGUUAUUACAACAGUAGAGUAGGCCUGGUUGCAAACGGGACUAUAGGCCAACGUGUUUAUAGCAUCAUGCUAAGUUAGCGUUUAAUACCACAAACAUUUUUACCACAUACAACUAUUAUUUACUUUAUUAACGCUUAACGAGGUUGGACAGUCGAUGUUGUACUUUGAUAACGAGACAAUUGUGUGUUAAGAAAAAUGACAUUACAAUAAAUAUAAACAUGCAUCUCUGGAAAAUACUAUUACUGCUGUUUCAACUUUUUGUUCGGCCAUCGUGAAAGAACGAAUGACUUCUUCUGCGAGGAUUUAUAAAAGCAGCUGGAAUCCCUUAAGUUGCAUUACUGCCACCUACAGUAUGUAUUUCUGCUGAGUGUCAUUAUUCUAUUGGAUACAAAAAGUUAGGAAACGCCCCUAUACGAUCCGCCCCUAUAUGAUACGCCCCUAUACGAUACGCCUCCUUGCUGUGGUCUGCAGACAGACUCUAUUGGUCUGCAGCCAGACCCAUCUCAUUCUAUUGGAUAAAAAAAGUUAGGAAACGCCCCUAUACGAUCCGCCCCUAUACGAUCCGCCUCCUUGCUGCGGUCUGCAGACAGACCCAUCUCCAACAACUAGCUGGCGUUAAACCAGACCAAGGGCUAUAAAGUAACGGCUGAAACCGAAUAAUACUGGACCUGCAUCACGUGAUGCAGGUCACUCACGACGCCCAAUCACAAUGUAGCAGUUUGCGCGCCAACUGUGGUGGAGCCAAGUGCAUCGGUGGACGGACGGUUAUUGUUUGAAAUUGAGCAGCCAGACUACAACAAUUCAACAUGUCUCUGCUGGACCUACCAACAUUUGGACUGUUCUAUUUCCCAGACGGGUCGGUUAGAGUAGAACAUACAUCUAUCAUAAAGGAUGUAAACAGGGCUGCAAAAGUUACAGUCACCUGCAGGGAAGACCUCGAUUUGGAGCAAGGCUGGAUAGAGGUGAUUUGGCCUGCCAAACGUCGACCGCAAAAGGGGUCGAAGCCAGUUGCUGCCAAAUUGCUGUUCGUAGGAGAAGUCUACCAAGAAGUGGUUCAAAAGCGGGAUGCUUUCAUCCGAGGGGAGGACAUAUUUUCGGUAGCCGAGUCCCAGAAAAGAGGCAGCAGAAGAAAGACAUGUACAGUCAAAAAUGUGAAGGAGGCUGUACAAAAAACAAACCAAGGAAAGGCAUCUGGUUCACAGAUGGUAACUGCCAUGGGCGAACAGCUCAAGAGAUCCCUACAGGCUGAGAGAACCUCCAAGCCCUCAGAAGAGGUGACAUCUGAAUCACCUCAACACUCUUCAGAUUCUGAUGUCACCUCGAUUGACCUGUUUGAGCCGAUCAAAAAGCAACCAUUUAGAUGCCAAGAUUGGUGGCUACCAUGAAGACAGCACUGGACAACAUUUCAGGGUCGUCCUCAUCAGGAUCUUGUUCCAGUAGUGGCCACGGUGACUCCCAGCAAACUGGCCGCAAUACUGGCAGUAAUGACUUGAUGUUCCUAGGCAACUCCUCCGUCCAGGUCUCCACACGCCUCUUCCACAGAUUAGGCAACAGAAGGAUGUCUCUCUUUGCCCAGGAACUAGCAACGCUAAUCUUUGGGAAAGAGACCCUGGCGAAGUCUACCCUUACUGGGAAGGGGAAAACCCAGAGACCCUUGACCCGGAGAAAGUCAAUGCCAUUAUAGACACCGUGAGAGAAAAAUGUCCAGGCACCGAGGUGAGUGCGAUCCGGGCCCUGCUGCGGAGGAAAUGCAACAACGAGAGAUAUACAAGCAACGUUACUCCUCACUGAUGGUCACCAUUUAGUUUAUAUAGACUUUGCAAGUUAGUUAGUCAGUUUAGCCAUCAUGUUUUGUUAAUUGUUAAAUUUAGUAUAAACACGUUUUUUGGUUUGUUGUUGUUUUUAUGUCAUUAAAAUUAUGUUUUUCUCAUAAUUGAAGUGCAAUUUGUCAUGAAACAGAAUAGCAUACUUGGUGUGUACUUAAGUAGUAUCCGGAAGUAGCUUAAAGUGUAUGAAGUAUAAUAGUGAUGUAUUGUAAGUAUGUUUCUGUAACACAUAACCCAGUACUUGCAGUGGUAACAUUAUUGUAAAAUACACUUCUAUUCUGUAGUAUAAGCAGUGAUACCAUACACUUCUACUCUACAUUAUAGUAUAAUAACAUUAUACUUAAAAUACAUGGAUUUAUGGUGCUUAAAUUGUGAUAGAACCUUACUAUAAAUACAUUUUUAUUAACAUGAUAGCACAAUUUAAAAGUAUUAAAUACAGUCAGAAAAUGCAUUUGAAGUUAAUUGGAAAUACAACAGGUGUGCUUGAAUAAGUAUGAUAAUAGUAUGUUGAAAACACUUAUGAAUUGAGCUGAAUUCCCUUUUAAGUAUAUUUCCAACACACUGGUGAUACAAUACAAUUAUACUUAAAGCAUGUUUAGAAUGCACACGAAUGCCCUUUUAAGUAUAUUUCCAACACACUGGUGAUAUAAUACAAUUGUGCUUAAAGUGUGUUUCGAAUGCACAUAAAUCAUGAUUUUAACUGGUGUACUUUAGUACACUUAAAGUUUACAAAAAGAUGUGCCAAUUUAGCACACUAUUUACACUUCAAGUAUACUCAGCUAAUGAUUAAGUAGUACUCCAGUACUACUUGAGUACACUUUAGUAUACUUGAAUGUGACCAAAAUAGCACAUUUAUCUAAAAGUGUACUUAGUACAUUCUUCUAAAAGUAUAAUUUAAGCAUACUAUUUUUUUACCUGGGGCUCCCAGCCACUUAAUUCAGGAGUUUACUUGAUUGACAG